rnacentral:rRNA from 1 species
CCCUUAGAUGUUCUGGGCUGCACGCGCGCUACACUGAUGCGCUCAACGAGUUUUAACCUUGCCUGGAAAGGUUGGGUAAUCUUUUUAAAACGCAUCGUGAUGGGGAUAGAUUAUUGCAAUUAUUAAUCUUCAACGAGGAAUUCCUAGUAAGCGCGAGUCAUCAGCUCGUGCUGAUUACGUCCCUGCCCUUUGUACACACCGCCCGUCGCUCCUACCGAUUGAGCGAUCCGGUAAAUGUUUUGGAUUGGUGCCGGGGCGGCUAGCUGCCGGUCGCUACGAAAUUUUGUGAACCUUAUCGCUUAGAGGAAGGAAAAGUCGUAACA